UGAUGUAAUGUGUUGGAACUUUCAGAAAAAGUUAACUUAAGAAUAUAUCUUUAAUUUUAUUUUAGAUUGUUUUUUUUUUUGCGUAUUUACAUGGCCUAUACAAUACUUUAAAAAAUGAGAAGGCUAUUUCCAGCCUGGCGUGCACAUUUAAAGGAACAAUAUAGAAACCCAGACCACUUCAUCUCAUUGAAGUGGUCUGGGUGUUCUGUCCCUUUAAACCUGCAAUCUAAAAUAUUGCAGUUUCAGAAAAACUACGAGACAGCCACUAGAGGAGCAUUAAUUCAUUGGUUUCCUAUGUGGAAGGCCUAAGGCGCAUUAGAAUCCCGCUUGGCACUGACGUAGGACGAAACCUAGCCGGCGCUGAUGAACAUUAGUAAUGGAAUCGGGUUUUUAAAGAGUUAAUAACCCUUUAAUUGUUAACUUGAAAGAAAUCAUUUUUUUCAUGCAAUGUUCACUUCACUUUUAUAUUAAAUAUUUAGCAAUUGGCAUCACAAUCCUGUUCAGUCCAGGAAAUAGACACAUUAGGGAUUUAUCAAUGUGGUUUGUUAUUAAAAGUGGUCUGUAGUGAGGCAAUCACCAUGGAAAAUGUGAAAAGUCUGGUGCUUACCACAUACAAAGUGCAAUUUCAUUUGUUUUUAACGUAAUUUAAUAUUCC